rnacentral:rRNA from 1 species
GACGAACGCUGGCGGCGUGCUUAACACAUGCAAGUCGAACGAAGUGGCGAACGGGUGAGUAACGCGUAAUCAACCUGCCCUUCAGAGGGGGACAACAGUUGGAAACGACUGCUAAUACAGAAUGAUGAAGGAGGGGCAUGCGUCUGAUUAGCGAGUUGGAUGGGAAACGACCCACACAGGCGAUGAUCAGUAGCCGGGCUGGGAGAAUGAACGGCCACAUGUGGACUGAGACACGUCCCAGACUCCUACGGGAGGCAGCAGUGGGGAAUCUUCCGCAAUGGACGAAAGUCUGACGGAGCAACGCCGCGUGAGUGAUGACGGCCUUCGGGUUGUAAAGCUCUGUUAAUCGGGACGCGGUACCGGAAUAGAAAGCCACGGCUAACUACGUGCCAGCAGCCGCGGUAAUAC